AUGUGGAGUAAUCUGGUUCCAAACUCCGUCAAACGAACACUGCGGCAUCAUUUUAUUUUGAGGGCUUGUAGGUUUAGUUCAGUCACACAGUCAGAGAGCCGUGUCUCUCUACAGUCAGAGGUUUUUGUACGGCGGCUCAAUGAGUUUGUAUCACUGUGGUGGACUUUUGGUGGAGGAACCAGACUGGAAUUUGGAAAUGACACCCGUCCCACCCUGACAGUGUUGUCCCCCUCCGUUAAGGAGCUGGAGAAUGGGAAGGCCACAUUAACAUGUCUGGCCAACAAGGGCUUCCCCUCAGACUGGACUCUGUCCUGGAAGGUGGAUGGAAGAAGCAGCAGUGACGGGGAGGAGAGCAGGAGCCCUGGUGUGCUGCAGAGUGACGGCCUGUAUAGUUGGAGCAGCACCCUGAAGCUCUCUACAUACCAGUGGAUGAAGGUGGGCUCUGUGACCUGUGAGGCCACCCAGGGCUCCCAGACUCUGGUCUCAGAGAUACUGAGCAGAGAUCAGUGUUCACAUUUGUGACCUGACUCACUGAGACUCUGCUGCUGCCCUCAGUCUGUUCUCUCUCUGUCUCUGUUUCACUCUGAUUUCAAAUGUCAUGUUUUACUGCUUGUAGUAUUGCUAAUGAUUUAAAAAAAUAACAAUAAAAA